CCAGACUCCUACGGGAGGCAGCAGUGAGGAAUAUUGGUCAAUGGCCGAGAGGCUGAACCAGCCAAGUCGCGUGAGGGAAGACGGCCCUACGGGUUGUAAACCUCUUUUGUCGGGGAGCAAAGAGAGUCACGUGUGACUCAUUGAGAGUACCCGAAGAAAAAGCAUCGGCUAACUCCGUGCCAGCAGCCGCGGUAAUACGGAGGAUGCGAGCGUUAUCCGGAUUUAUUGGGUUUAAAGGGUGCGUAGGCGGAAUGCCAAGUCAGCGGUAAAAUCGCGGGGCUCAACCUCGCUCCGCCGUUGAAACUGGCUGUCUUGAGAUGUCGAGAGGUAUGCGGAAUGCGCAGUGUAGCGGUGAAAUGCAUAGAUAUCGCGCAGAACUCCGAUUGCGAAGGCAGCAUGCCGGCUCCACACUGACGCUGAGGCACGAAAGCGUGGGUAUCGAACAGGAUUAGAUACCCCAGUAUAC
rnacentral:rRNA from 1 species